GGAGGCUGUGUGCCCGAAACCACGCGUGGAAGGAGCGCGCUUCCGCACCGACGGGAGCCCAGAAGCUUCUGAAGCUCGUGCGGCAUUGGCCUUUCCUCCCUGCGCAGCCCAGGGGGCGGAGGUGCUGGUGAGCGUGGCUUCACCCACUUCUUGGCCACCUCUAGAAGGCAGAAAGCCUCGUUCCUCCAAAAUGUCUCCUCACUGGACUGGAUUUCAGAGACCCAGGUUGCAGUCCCUGUUCUGUGUCUGCUAACUGUUCUCUGACUAGACGUUACUAGCUUCCCUCGAGUGUCCACCUCCUCCUAGCCAAGAGGGAACUCUGCUGCUGUUCUUGGUGAGGACAGAGUAAUAGCAUUUCUAAACUCUGGAUCAUGAUUACUUUUGCUGCCAUCCCUGAUAACACACUAUUUUUGGUAUCAAGAGCUCAAACUUGACAGCAGUUACUACAUAAUUUUUACAAAUUUUGAAUAGAUUCAGUGUUUUAAACCUGUUUCAAAAUCUAAUGAUUUAAAAAAAAAAAUUUUCCCCCCAGAAUUUAGGCUCUUGGGUUUCUUAGAACUUAAGCAUGAUUUUCUGAGGCCUAGCCUCAGGUGGUACAUGUCAAUCACUCUCUUUCAGUUUCUCCAUGAAGUGAUCACGGUAGGAUUUUCUGGGGUAGGGGACUGGGAUGCACUCAGCUGGUCGAGUGCUUGCCUAGUAUACCUAGUAUACAUAGAACUCCAGGUUGGAUUCCCAGCACCAUACAAACCAGUGUGCCAGCUUACACUUAUAAUCCCAGCACUUGGGAGUAGAAGUAGGAGAUCAAGAAUUCAAAAUCUUCUUCCUCUAUGUACUGAAUCUGAGGCCAGUCCAGAGUACAUGAGACUCUGAGCAAAUAAAUAAAUUCCAGGAAGGAAAAAAAAAAAACAAACUAAAACAUUAUUGACAUUGAUUAAAUCAAAGACAGAAAGGCUGAUAUGAAAUUGGUGUGUUUGUACCUAUAAUACCUUGGUUUACUCCUCGGUAAAGUGAAGAUAAAUUAUAAAAUAAACUUGGACUAGAUAUUAUUUGCAUUUUAGCACACUGGCUAGGGUAGCUUGUAAGGUCUUGUUUGGUUUGUUUUUCCCAUCAACCUAAGGUCAUUGUAAGGAUAGAGGAAUUAAUGUCGGUAACAUGAUUGGGGAUCCCCAGAUGAAAGGUUACGUGGGUCCAAAGCAGAAGUAACUUUGCUCCAAGUUACAGCUAAAUUAGAAGGAGCAGAGGGCUUGGCUGUUUAUUCGCAAUGACUUGGGGACUCAAGGACUCUCCGGGAUUCCACAUCCAUCAUAGUCCACACAUACCCCUGCCUCUCAUUUCCCCUUUUGAUGUCUUAGUUCCCGUUCAGGUCAGUAGAGCGGAGAGGGUAGUGAGAGAUCAUGAAGAGCAGGAUAGCAGAACAGGAUCUGCAGGAGGAAAUGGCCACUCAGGCUAUUUUGGCUUUGUUUUAUUCCUGGCAGCCCUGGAGAAAGAUUCCCCUGCCCAAACGUUUGAUUGCCAGUCUAUACGUUUCCAAGGCUCAUUUCUUCCAGUAAGCCCAUGGAAAUUAAUGGGAAAGGAGGGCGAGCUUCUGGUUGGAACGCAUUUAGAUUGUGUUCUCUAAGGCCUGGCAUUUGUUUCCCACUCUUACAAUACCCCAAACCUUGACCUGCUCACUACAUGAACAUUUUUAUUUAGUUUAUAUUUAUUCACUGUUCAUAGCUGGCUCUCAUUCUCUUCUUUUUAUUACUAUCAGUGUCACUUGCCAUCUGGAGAGGGCAGAAACUGUGUUUAUCUCUUUCUCCUGUGUAACAGCCUAUAAAAUGAUAGCCGCUGCAGGAGACACACGGGGUCAUAGUCUAGUAAACACCAGCAGUGCUCAUUUUGAGCCGGCCACAAGUGAGGCCUCCCAUGAAGUUAAUUAAAGGCUGUUGCUUUAAUGCUUUAGGAGAGCUUUGCUAUAAGAAUUGCCCAUGAGCUGGGCAGUGGUGGCUCACUCCUUUAAUCCCAGCACUCAGGAGGCAGAGGCAGGUGGAUCUCUGAGUUCGAGGCCAGCCUGGUCUACAGAGUGAGUUCCAGGACAGCCAGAGCUACACAGAGAAACCCUGCCUUGAACAACAACAAGAGCAACAAAACAAAAAAUUGCCCGUGUAUGUCCCAGGAUCUUGAAGAUGAGUGGGCACCAGAAAUCAUCUUUCUACCCUUACAUCCAGAGCCACCAGCUUCUCCUUGAACCCACACAAUGAUGUGAUGUUCACCACUUAACUCACAACCCAGUCAAUGGUUUUUCAUUGUAAAGUAUAUCAUACCUACAAAAGAGAGCAUGAAAAUGUAUGGCGGACCAUGGGGAAGCCAUAGUACAAUAAAAGAUUUCAGCUCCUACCACAGGGCCAAGAAUAGAAAUUACUGUGUCCUAGAAGUCUUCUGCCCAAGUCUUGGCCUCUGCUCAAGUUCACCAAAGUCUAAUGUUUUGAUCACCAUAAACAUCGUAGAAAGUCUUAUCUCCUAUGGAGCUGACACAUGUUCCUUGGACAUUUCUAAUCAUGACAUUUAGUUCUGGGCUCUGGUACUACAUGGUUAAAUGUAAUGUUUCUUUCAUUUGAUACACCUCAGCUAUUUGAAGACAGCUAUUACAUUGGAGUUGCCAAAAGAAACAUCUUUAGUUCCUUUCCCUUUCUAAUGUGGCCUUCAUAACAAUACACAGUCCUCCAUAGACCCUGCCUGACUAGCUAGGCACAGAGUGAAACUGUUCCCUUUUUUUAUUUGGACAUUUAAAAAACAAUAACAAACAGAUGGCCUUGGAUAAGACCAACUGUUUCAGUGUCUCCAAACUUUGCCCUGAGUUGCUAGCCAGUAUUGCCUUGGCUUUCUCAGAGGGAGUGCUAACUCAAGGCUCUUCUGUUAAGUAGACAGAGUAUGUAGUAGUUGCAUGAAUUUCUACCCACUAAUUUUGUUGUAUUUUUCAUUCCAGCUUGUCCACAUCAUCUUGAUUUAUUGGAAUGUAUUUCUUUGUAGUUUAUUAAUAUACUUGGGGUAACAUGGAAACAACAUCUACAGAAUCCAUUCAGCUACUAAUGUUAAACUUUUCUGAAUGCACUCAAAUAUUUUCUAAAUGGCUCAAAAGUCACUGUAUGAUCUUGUGGUGUCUCAUCAGUCACUGUGCCUUUGAUCUGUGGCAUGCCAAUUAGCAGCAGUCCAGGUAAUGGGAUUCCAGAUAGCUGUGUGCUUAAGUGUAUGAAGCUUGCCAGAGAGGCGAAGCCAUGAUAGACAGGAGAGGACAAGCACUGUGUGGUGGUGCACACCUGCAAUCCCAGCAUUUAGCAGCAGGAGGAAGAAGGGUUAGGAAUUCAAGGUCACUCUUGACAACUUAGAGAGUUUGGAAACUAGCCAGGGCUGCAUAAGACCCUGUCUCAAGAAAGAGAAAGAUAGAGAGAGACAGAGACAGACAGGGAGAGGGAGAGACAGAGACAGAUGUGGGGGGCGGGGAGAGACAAAACAAAAAAAGCAGAAAACAUCAAAGGAAAGCUAGUGAUUAUGUUGGCAGCAGGCAGAGGGGAGCAAGUUCAUGCACAACAAUGGGACAUCAUAAGGAACUGGGAAUCUAUCAUGCUUUGGCAACAACCCCAAAGGCAGAAUUUCUAGAUACAUACAUUGCCAGGAUAUUUUUCUCUCAACAAUAGUUUAUUAUAAUAAGUUUGGCUAAUGUGCUUAGAAUGUGUUAAGACCUAGUUUAUUGGUACAAUAAAAAAAAAACAUCAUUAUAGUAACAGGUUAUUUUUUCUUUUCUUUUUUUUCCCCCAGCAAAAUUCUGGGCUACCAAUGCUUUAAAGAAAGAAGAAAGAGUCACAACGUGUUAGGAAAGCACCCUAGCAUGCAAUCCUUCUCCUGGCUGUUAGGAAAGCCCUUGGGGCCCAGGGAACAGGCACAGCCAGAGCACGAAUACACACAAGUGCCAUCUUGUCCAGCUCCUCUACGAUACAGUUGUUGGUUGCAGACCAAGCUGUCUCCUGCCCCUGCAUGCUACCAUACUGGUCUAGAACAGCGCUAGUUUCUCUUCAGUUACUCACAGAAAAUAUUUUGCCCCGAGACAGCCUCUGAAGCCCUUACACACUAAUUGAACCUGAAUGUUUUAAUUGAACCUCAUUAUUUGAACUGUGCGAGGGAGGAAGAGUCCUUUGGGUCUGAAACAGGGUGAGAGGAGACUCAGCUCUCAGUUGCAAAGCGUGUCUCCUGGUGCCAAAAUACACUGCCCUGGGAACCUGGUUACUUGUAGUGACUGAGUUUCUGCCUCUCUGGCUCCUCGUUUAUCUGCAUGGUUUGAUGCAAAGAGAGAAGCAUGACUUUUCUGGAAAUCACGAGUCUCUCUAACAUGGGGGGCAGGUGAUCAGAAUUUGGGGAAUCACCAUCCAAUCAGUCACUUACCCCCACAGUUAAUGCUGUUCAUUCGUGAGGUGCUUUCAUCCUCUGCUCUGUAGAAUACCAAAGAUUAAAUAUGUGGGUUUUGUGGAGCAAAGGCGAGGUGUGCUGAUAGAGCCCAGCAGUUCUCUGAGUAUUUGUGACAUCCUGUCACUCCACUGAGCCAAACUCAAAUGCCACAUCAAGUAGCUUUACUUCUCGUUGACUUGCUCUGAGCAUGAAUGAUAGCCUUAAGCCUAUUGGCCACAGUCCUCUUGACUAUUCUUUUUUUUUGAGCUGAGGAUCGAACCAGGGCCUUGUGCUUGCUAGGCAAGCGCUCUACCACUGAGCUAAAUCCCCAACCACUCAUCUGGACCAUUCUUUAUGACAAAUAGAAACAUACUUUAUGGCACCCACCUUUGUGAGCACGGGCCAGAUAGAUGCCAGUUCUAGAAGAUAGUGCUUUCUAGAAACUGUAACUUCUUAGCUCAUAUUACUUAACAUAUUUUAAUUAUUCAUUUAUCCAUUUUUAUUCA